rnacentral:antisense_RNA from 1 species
CUUCAGCGACCCCAGCCACAGUGGCCGGUCUUCGGCACGCCCCUGGCCGUAGGUGGCCAAGACGGCUUGGGCCUC